AUUGAACGCUGGCGGCAUGCCUUACACAUGCAAGUCGAACGGCAGCACGGGUGCUUGCACCUGGUGGCGAGUGGCGAACGGGUGAGUAAUACAUCGGAACAUGUCCUGUAGUGGGGGAUAGCCCGGCGAAAGCCGGAUUAAUACCGCAUACGAUCUACGGAUGAAAGCGGGGGACCUUCGGGCCUCGCGCUAUAUGGUUGGCCGAUGGCUGAUUAGCUAGUUGGUGGGGUAAAGGCCUACCAAGGCGACGAUCAGUAGCUGGUCUGAGAGGACGACCAGCCACACUGGGACUGAGACACGGCCCAGACUCCUACGGGAGGCAGCAGUGGGGAAUUUUGGACAAUGGGCGAAAGCCUGAUCCAGCAAUGCCGCGUGUGUGAAGAAGGCCUUCGGGUUGUAAAGCACUUUUGUCCGGAAAGAAAUCCUUGGCUCUAAUACAGUCGGGGGAUGACGGUACCGGAAGAAUAAGCACCGGCUAACUACGUG
rnacentral:rRNA from 1 species